UCAGUUCACCCCACGUGAGGGCACCUAGCUCAGCGACCAAUCAGAGCCUACGCAGGCCGCAUUGACCCUGUCAGCCAGGAAGUGAGGUGAAGGUGCGUGGUUCUCCCGGGUUUUCUCAUCUCAGCAACAGGUGUGGAGGCAUGUGAGAAACGCAGGGACGAAAGACAGGAAAAACUCAGAAUUGAGAGGAAGGAAAGCCAGCAUACUUACCUGCUGGAGGUCCAGAGUCGAGUGGCUGGAUGAAGGAGAGAAGCAACGUCGGUUAGACGAGUGUUAUUCUGAAGAAAAAAACUUGUAGAGACUUACCGUCAUGAUCAUGCUAAUGCUAGCUCGGUGUUUCACAGGCUAGCCACUCACCUUUCAUCCGGAGAGCUGCUGCAAUUCCGACACUAGUGUGUGUUCGGCUUUGUGAAACAGAGCAACGGUCAGGUUUUUGGAGAGGACAGGAAAGUACGAGGACCAGGACGAAAUUCCGGUCGCGAUAGAUGGCGAGCCAACCACUUUGAGGAUGAUCCACCCCAAAGAGGAUACACACGUUCCAAUUACACUCACAAGGACCUUUGAAGUUGGCUGUUGUCAACAUAACUUGAAUUCUUAAAGGGCCCCAACGAGUACUUUUAUUUUAAGUGUGCACACUAUUUAUUUUAUUUUAUACUUUUUUUUCCUGUAUAAAUUGGACACGAAUUUUUUACACUUUGUAACAAUACAAGACUGGCUACUCAAAAGUUA